rnacentral:rRNA from 1 species
UGAGUAAUCCCACGCUUCCGAGAAAAGCCGCGCGCAGAGCUCCUCUAGUGAUCGUACUGUAAACCGACUCAGGUGGGCGGGGUGAAUAUCCCAAGGCGCGUGAGAGAACCCUGGUUAAGGAACUCUGCAAAUUUACACCGUAACUUCGGGAGAAGGUGUGCCGCUGGCGGUGAAAGGCUUUGCGCCUCGAGCUGUCGGUGGUCGCAGUGAAAUGGGAGUUGUGACUGUUUACUAAAAACACAGGACUCUGCGAAGUCGAAAAGACGACGUAUAGGGUCUGAUGCCUGCCCGGUGCUGGAAGGUUAAGGGGAUAUGUCAGGGGCAACCCGAAGCAUUGAACCGAAGCCCCAGUAAACGGCGGCCGUAACAAUAACGGUCCUAAGGUAGCGAAAUUCCUUGUCGGGUAAGUUCCGACCUGCACGAAUGGCAUAACAACAUCUCCACUGUCUCGACCAGGGACUCAGCGAAAUUGCAUCGGGGGUGAAGAUGCCCUCUACCCGCGGAAAGACGGAUAGACCCCAUGAACCUUCACUGCAACUUGGCAGUGAUUUUCGGGUUGUUCUGCGUAGGAUAGGUGGGAGGCUUUGAAGCCGGGCUUCUGGGUUCGGUGGAGCCACCCUUGAAAUACCACCCUGAAUAAUCUGGAAAUCUAACCUUCACCCGUGAUCCGGGUGGGGAACACUGCCUGGUGGGCAGUUUGACUGGGGCGGUCGCCUCCUAAAUCGUAACGGAGGCGUGCGACGGUUCCCUCAGGCUGAUUGGAAACCAGCCGUAGAGUGCAAACGCAUAAGGGAGCUUUACUGUGAGACCGACAGGUCGAGCAGUUGCAAAAGCAGGUGUUAGUGAUCCGGUGGUCCCGUAUGGAAGGGCCAUCGCUCAUCGGAUAAAAGGUACUCUGGGAUAACAGGCUGAUCGCGCCUGAGAGUUCAUAUCGGCGGCGCGGUUUGGCACCUCGAUGUCUGCCCAUCGCAUCCUGGGGCUGGAGCAGGUCCCAAGGGUUCGGCUGUUCGCCGAUUAAAGCGGUACGCGAGCUGGGUUUAAAACGUCGUGAGACAGUUUGGUCCCUAUCUUCCGUGGGCGUAGGACACUUGAGAGGAGCUGCCCAUAGUACGAGAGGACCUGGGUGGACGUACCUCUGGUGUUCCGGUUGUCACGCCAGUGGCAUAGCCGGGUAGCCAUGUACGGAACGGAUAACCGCUGAAAGCAUAUAAGCGGGAAGCCGGCCUCAAGACUAGGUGUCCCUGCCGCAAGGCACUAAAGGCCCCUUGUAGACUACGAGGUUGAUAGGCCGGGUGUGGAAGCGCUGCAAAGCGUGGAGCUAACCGGUCCUAAUAGGCCGUGCGGCUUGAUCAU